CCUACGGGGGGCUGCAGUGGGGAAUAUUGGACAAUGGGGGGAACCCUGAUCCAGCCAUGCCGCGUGUGUGAAGAAGGCCCUCGGGUUGUAAAGCACUUUCAGUGAGGAAGAACGCCUGGUGGUUAAUACCCAUCAGGAAAGACAUCACUCACAGAAGAAGCACCGGCUAACUCCGUGCCAGCAGCCGCGGUAAUACGGAGGGUGCGAGCGUUAAUCGGAAUUACUGGGCGUAAAGCGCGCGUAGGUGGCUUGAUAAGCCGGUUGUGAAAGCCCCGGGCUCAACCUGGGAACGGCAUCCGGAACUGUCAAGCUAGAGUGCAGGAGAGGAAGGUAGAAUUCCCGGUGUAGCGGUGCAAUGCGUAGAGAUCGGGAGGAAUACCAGUGGCGAAGGCGGCCUUCUGGACUGACACUGACACUGAGGUGCGAAAGCGUGGGUAGCAAACAGGAUUAGAUACCCCUGUAGUC
rnacentral:rRNA from 1 species